rnacentral:rRNA from 1 species
GAGUGGCGAACGGGUGAGUAACACGUGGGAAACCUACCUCUUAGCAGGGGAUAACAUUUGGAAACAGAUGCUAAUACCGUAUAACAAUGACAACCGCAUGGUUGUUAUUUAAAAGAUGGUUCUGCUAUCACUAAGAGAUGGUCCCGCGGUGCAUUAGCUAGUUGGUAAGGUAAUGGCUUACCAAGGCGAUGAUGCAUAGCCGAGUUGAGAGACUGAUCGGCCACAAUGGGACUGAGACACGGCCCAUACUCCUACGGGAGGCAGCAGUAGGGAAUCUUCCACAAUGGGCGAAAGCCUGAUGGAGCAACGCCGCGUGUGUGAUGAAGGGUUUCGGCUCGUAAAACACUGUUGUAAGAGAAGAAUGACAUUGAGAGUAACUGUUCAAUGUGUGACGGUAUCUUACCAGAAAGGAACGGCUAAAUACGUGCCAGCAGCCGCGGUAAUACGUAUGUUCCAAGCGUUAUCCGGAUUUAUUGGGCGUAAAGCGAGCGCAGACGGUUAUUUAAGUCUGAAGUGAAAGCCCUCAGCUCAACUGAGGAAUUGCUUUGGAAACUGGAUGACUUGAGUGCAGUAGAGGAAAGUGGAACUCCAUGUGUAGCGGUGAAAUGCGUAGAUAUAUGGAAGAACACCAGUGGCGAAGGCGGCUUUCUGGACUGUAACUGACGUUGAGGCUCGAAAGUGUGGGUAGCAAACAGGAUUAGAUACCCUGGUAGUCCACACCGUAAACGAUGAGUGCUAGGUGUUUGAGGGUUUCCGCCCUUAAGUGCCGCAGCUAACGCAUUAAGCACUCCGCCUGGGGAGUACGACCGCAAGGUUGAAACUCAAAGGAAUUGACGGGGACCCGCACAAGCGGUGGAGCAUGUGGUUUAAUUCGAAGCAACGCGAAGAACCUUACCAGGUCUUGACAUCCCUUGACAACUCCAGAGAUGGAGCGUUCCCUUCGGGGACAAGGUGACAGGUGGUGCAUGGUUGUCGUCAGCUCGUGUCGUGAGAUGUUGGGUUAAGUCCCGCAACGAGCGCAACCCUUAUUACUAGUUGCCAGCAUUCAGUUGGGCACUCUAGUGAGACUGCCGGUGACAAACCGGAGGAAGGUGGGGAUGACGUCAAAUCAUCAUGCCCCUUAUGACCUGGGCUACACACGUGCUACAAUGGCGUAUACAACGAGUUGCCAACCCGCGAGGGUGAGCUAAUCUCUUAAAGUACGUCUCAGUUCGGAUUGUAGGCUGCAACUCGCCUACAUGAAGUCGGAAUCGCUAGUAAUCGCGGAUCAGCACGCCGCGGUGAAUACGUUCCCGGGUCUUGUACACACCGCCCGUCACACCAUGAGAGUUUGUAACACCCAAAGCCGG